GGAGAGGGCAUGGCUCGAUGGCAGAGCAUCUCCUUUGCAUGCAGGAGGCCCCAUGUUCGAUCCCUGGCAUUUCCA
rnacentral:tRNA from 1 species